AACAUUUUGUCUUUCUCUUCAGGUCUCACCUUUCUGGCACAACAAACAAAGGUCAGUAAAUGUGUUUCCUAACAGUUUAAACCUGAUCAUUACUUCCUAAAAAGCAGUAAAAGUAUGAAUAACAGCUCAUUACUGUACAACAUUGUCAUUUUUAAUUAAUUCAGAUAUGAAUUUUACAUUUUAUGCAUGUCUUUCAUUGUUUUCUGUGGUGUUUCCUAUCAUUAUUCCUGGAGUUCAGACUAAACACUGAAUUUUCUGUUCUGAUCACACAGAGGUCAAAGUGAGGCCGGGACAAAACGCCACACUUGAGUGUCGAGGCUCCAGAGAUUCAAUGAUCUCAGUGGAGCAAACCUGAUCUCAAACCAGACUUUUAUGUGUUCUUCUACCGAAAACCACACUCGUAUGAGAACUACCAGCACGAGUCCUUUAAAGGCCGAGUGGAUCUGAGAGAGCCGUCUAUGAAUGGAGACGCUUCUGUGGUUCUGAGGAACGUCAGCAUCAGCGAUACAGGAACAUACAAGUGUGAGAUUAUAACCAGCCACACAAGAAGUGGCGAGAGAGACGUCACAGAGUUCAAGCACUCCAUCAACCUCACAGUCACAGACGCAGAUUGAGGGGAUGAGGCUGUAGGAGACAAGGAGGGAGGAGGCAAGGUUGAAGUUAGAGCUGCUGUCUCUGUUUCUGCUGGGCUGCUUAUUAGUAUUAUUAUUGUUAUAGCUAUCGUUGCUUUAAUUAACUACAGGAGACACAAGUCAUGCUGGAUUUGGUCCUCCUGAUUUGUGUUAGCUAACCCUGAUAGUGAAUGCUUUAGCUCUUGUUGUAGGUUCUUCUGUUUAUGGCUGUUUUCUGACCCUUCAGCCUCGCUCAGAUAAAGCUUAAUUUCCUGUUAGCUCGCAGAAAAUAACAGUGAAGCUGCAACAAGGGUUGUCAUCCACAGUCAGUCGACUGGCUCGUCUCAAGUUUACAGUGUGGCCAUAAAGACCUACAUCAGAGUGAUCUCCUAAUCUUUUCUGUCCUCACGUUGCUGCUGAGCAUAACUUUUCUCUGAGAGCAGCUGAUGAACUCGAAAGCUCAGGAGACAAAACAAAGCAGAUGAAUGUAUAUUUAUUAAGCACCUUAAUUCGUUUUCUUUGUCUUUUGUUCUUUUUGUCUUUGCACUGACUUCAGCCAAUAAGCCUGCUCCACUUGACUUAAUUUUUUUGUCCUUUAAACAAUAACCUUUCAUUGUGUUGUUAUUUUAACAUGAAACAUUUUUGUUAGUGCGUCUUGGAGGGUCACAAUAAGCUGUCACUACUGCUCAUCUACUGUCCUUUUGACUGUGACAUGUUUCCGUCAUUUCAAUAAAAUGAAAACAAAACUGGUUUCAGUAGUUUUCUCUUUAUUUUGACUGUAAAUGCUUUCUAGAAGCUCAGGCUGAGGUACAUGUUAACGAUUUAGACGAGGCCUGUGACUGGGAAGCUUUGGAGUAGUGGCUUCAGUGAGGAGCACCACUUCAACUUUUUAUCACUAACGUUCAGUUGAUUUUUUUUCCACUGGUUUCAUUUGACAUGAGAUGAACACAAGGCAAAACUACCAAAGUCUCUAGUGACUCUCCUGAAGUUAAACUUUUUCCACUGUAUUUCACUCAAAGUAAUCCAGAUCAUAAAUUUGUGGGAAAAACUAAUUAAUAAAAUCUGUGACUAACAGAUGAAUCUGAAUUUAAUUUGUGCUCAGAAACCUCACUAAGAGCACCAAUGAAACAUACUGAUGUACAGAGAGAUACCAGCAUAUAAAACAAUGUGCUAACAUGUUUUAUACAGAGACACAGAGUCAGCUCAAACUUUCAAAUGAUUCUUUGUAAAAAAGUAGAGCUGAAACAGAUGAAAUACGUGUGUCUGUCUGCAGCAUCUCCCUCAGACUCCUCACUACUUACAGGCUAUGACUCAUCCAGCUAACAAUACUGAUAUAGUUUCUUGCAGAUCCUGGUAAUUUUCCAUUAUGUAGUUUUCCAAUGUGGGACCUUGACAUGGACUCGAGGUGGCAGUUACUGCUGUGUUUCUCUGAGCUCAAACCAACUGGAGCACAUUAAUGAUUAGGCACAGCUCGGGUCUAUUGAGUUUUAACUGUUUUCUAAG
rnacentral:lncRNA from 1 species